UACAGAGGGGGCAAGCGUUAUUCGGGAUUAUUGGGCGUAAAGGGCGCGUAGGCGGCCUGGCAAGUGGAAGGUGAAAUCCCUCGGCUUAACCGAGGAACUGCCCUCCAAACUGCUUGGCUUGAGUCCGGGAGAGUUGAGUGGAAUUCCCAGUGUAGCGGUGAAAUGCGUAGAUAUUGGGAGGAACACCAGUGGCGAAGGCGGCUCACUGGACCGGAACUGACGCUGAGGCGCGAAAGCGUGGGGAGCAAACGGG
rnacentral:rRNA from 1 species